AUUGGUUAAUGACAAAGAGAACACACACACUGCUUUACUGAUGGAGAGACUCAGAAACUCACAACUCUGUGUUUGGGACAUGAGCUAAGCUAGCACUUUCCACCUGCUUCUACAGUAGCUAAGUAAGCUAAGCUAAGCUACACACAUCCUGCACUGGACAUGCAGACAGAAAGACAUUCCUGAAAUGUCAGUGUUUCUUUAAAGAAUAUUUUUGAAUGAGGUUUAUUUCUAUUUCUAUUGCGGUAUUGGUAAUUUUGUUUUAGCAACGUUAAUGUUCAAGGAUCUAAAUGCUUCUAGCUAGCUAGUUGGGGAAUUAUAGUAUAUACAGUGUUUACUACUUACUUACAUAUCCGCAUAAAUUACAGUAUACAUUAUUACAUACAGUGAGACAGAGUCACAUUCUAGAAUUACUUUGUUUCAAAGUCUUAACUGAAAGAUCACUUCACCUGCUGAAAUAUACAAGCAAUUACAGGUUAACCUCCAGUUAUAAUAGUGAUCGAAAGAGUUACAACAAUGUUUGGACUGCAUUGUUUUCAGAAGAAGCAGAAAAGUCAAAAACCUGCAGAAGAUAUUGUUGCACAUGAGAGCCAACAGCACCCCAGUUGUCAUGGGAAAGUUGCUGUCACCACUGCUCCAGUCUCAGCUAAGUCUGCUGAGGCUAGAAAACAGAAAAAGAGCAAGAAGGUUCCAUGGAGGAAUCGGCUCUUCAGUCACCCUGAGAUACAUUUGACAAAGAAGGAAACCAAUUGGGAGGAGGAUGUAGAAGGAAAGGAAAGCACUUGUGACACCAACUUAAAGGCCGAGGCUACGGAGCACAAACCAAAGUCCAAGAAGAGAAGUGGUUCAGAUGCCGCAAUCUGCAGCUCUCCAACACCAGAAGAGACAAACGAGCAGCAACAGUCAACCUCAAUCUCCCAGGCAAUCCAGUUGCUCAAGGAACAGUUCAACAGCACCAAAGGGAGUCAUGUUGGUUUCAGAGAUGGUGUCUGGGGGAGCACCAUCGACUGCUUUGGCUUUUCUAAUCUUGGUCAGAGCUGUUACGUCAACUCCAGCCUGCAGAGCCUCCUGACACUGGAGGACUUUGUUUGUGACGUCAGCCGCCAGAAAUGGGUCUGGAGUCCAGUCCCUAAGGCCCAACUGAUGAGUUUUGGCUUUGGCUGGGGACCAACACGCUGCGGUUUAGUUGUGAAAAGUGUGAUUAUCACGACCCCUGGACUACCAACAGGAAAAACGAAAAGGGGUAAGCUAUGUUCUGCUAUCACUCUGGAGCUUGUUUUCUGCUCAUUUGUUCAGGAAAUAAUAUUUUAGCUGCUCGUGCUCAGGAGUGGGCGAUUUGUCAUUGCAGGGGUGUUUUAUUGUGAAAUGUGUUGUGGUUGACAGAGGUUUGACGGAUAGCACCGUUUUUGUUGUGUUGUCAUGCCGGUUGUUUGUUAACGUUAGCAGGAGGGAGGCAAGGCUCUCUGAGUGUACAAAAACAUCACUUCCAUGGAAGUGACCUGGUGCCUUCACAUAGAAAUCAGUCCACGGUGUGUUGAUUAUCAUCACUUGUUAUUGAGCUAUUUGCUUACUGUUGUCAAAACUUUCUGUCUUUCUAAGAUUUUGUGUAUCAUAUGCGAUUGUCUAUCAUUUACAGAGGUUAAUGCAUCAAGGACCAUUAUUGAUAUUGAUUUCAUUUCAUUCCAAUUCUGCCUGUGCUUGAAAAAGCUGCACUGAAACUGUUGAUUUUUGUCGAUUGGCUUUUGAACCAUCAACAAAAAUCAACUACGCUUUGUGAUAAAAGGAAAUGAGGCUGGUUUAGAGAUUUCAUUUGUAAUCUCUGAGCUAUGAAUGGUCCAAUAGACAUAGAAAUAGAAAUAGAAAUUGGCUCUUUACUUCUCUUGAGCUCUCACCUUUGUCAGCAUGCAGUUGACAUAACAUCUCUUCGACCCUCUGUAAUAUGCUGUAUUAUAAACACUCUUACAGUCCAAGACCCAAGGAGACUUUUCGGAUACCAUCUCAUCUGUGUUUCCAUGAACAUCGUACAUAUUUUCACAGUUGCUUGCUCACAAAGGUAGAGAGAGAGCAGUGGUGUAGACAGUGACAGAGUAGAGGAAUUCUUAGGGGUCUUAGAGAGAGGAACUUUACCUACUGAAUAGCUACAGUAUUCCUCUCUCAGUGGGCACAAAAAUAAGGAGCUCCUACCAUGAUUUCAUUAGCCAUGUUUCCAUUAGAUUCGCAAGAUAAUUUUAAGCGAACUUUUGAAAUGUCGCAAAAAGGAAAAUACGAAUUAAGUGCGUUUCUAUCAACUGGUUUGAAGCAAAUAAACUAGGUUACACAACACGUAGUUUCAUCAGUAAAUGGAGGUAUAUGCUUAAAUAAUCUGCCAGUAAUGGUUGUAAAGGUUGCCAGUAGAGGUUGCCAAGCAGAAACCAAAAAAAAUAGUUAUAUUGCCUUAGCGAGAGAAAAAUGGAGUGAGGUCUUCAGGAAUUUGUUUCAAUUGGGCAAGUUGUCAUCGUUCUUUCAUGUCAGCUAGUAUUAAACAUACAUCAUGCUAUCUGGAGAGGCCGGAAGACGCCGAGAGCAGAAACAGCUGAUCAUAGUUUUGUUUGUCUACUCACCGAUGG